UAGGGAAUCUUCCACAAUGGACGCAAGUCUGAUGGAGCAACGCCGCGUGAGUGAAGAAGGCUUUCGGGUCGUAAAACUCUGUUGUUGGAGAAGAACGGUCGGCAGAGUAACUGUUGUCGGCGUGACGGUAUCCAACCAGAAAGCCACGGCUAACUACGUGCCAGCAGCCGCGGUAAUACGUAGGUGGCAAGCGUUAUCCGGAUUUAUUGGGCGUAAAGCGAGCGCAGGCGGUUUUUUAAGUCUGAUGUGAAAGCCCUCGGCUUAACCGAGGAAGCGCAUCGGAAACUGGAAAACUUGAGUGCAGAAGAGGACAGUGGAACUCCAUGUGUAGCGGUGAAAUGCGUAGAUAUAUGGAAGAACACCAGUGGCGAAGGCGGCUGUCUGGUCUGUAACUGACGCUGAGGCUCGAAAGCAUGGGUAGCGAACAGGAUUAGAUACCCUGGUAGUCCAUGCCGUAAACGAUGAAUGCUAGGUGUUGGAGGGUUUCCGCCCUUCAGUGCCGCAGCUAACGCAUUAAGCAUUCCGCCUGGGGAGUACGACCGCAAGGUUGAAAC
rnacentral:rRNA from 1 species